UACGUAGGGUGCAAGCGUUAAUCGGAAUUACUGGGCGUAAAGCGUGCGCAGGCGGUUUUGUAAGUCUGAUGUGAAAUCCCCGGGCUCAACCUGGGAAUUGCAUUGGAGACUGCAAGGCUAGAAUCUGGCAGAGGGGGGUAGAAUUCCACGUGUAGCAGUGAAAUGCGUAGAGAUGUGGAGGAACACCGAUGGCGAAGGCAGCCCCCUGGGUCAAGAUUGACGCUCAUGCUCGAAAGCGUGGGGAGCAAACAGG
rnacentral:rRNA from 1 species